UAAGCUACCGAUCAUCUCUGCUCUUCUUUCUACAAAUGCUUCAUCCGACCCUCUAUUCUCCCAUUUUUGAAUACUUGAGCCACCAUUAGAACUCUUCUCUGUGUGUGCCGCCGCCUCCUACUUCAAAUCUUUGAGUCGCUGGCUUCUGAAGAAACAUUUGAGCCAACGCCGGUCCUAGCUCGUUUAGAGUUGCCGCUGCCGCCGAUCCUAGCUCAGACAGUCGUUUAGCCUCUGUAACCUCUGACCCUUACGUGAGUAAUACCAGUCGACCUCGGAGUCCCCUUCUUCUUCGUCUCUCUCUGUUCAUUCAACUUGUCACUUGCAAUCCCCUUCUUCUUCGUCAAAUCCCCUUCUGCCGUUUCCAUUGACGAGCUCUGUAAGCCGCCGCCACUGCCUCCAUUUUACUAGCCUAAAGCUGCCUCCGGAGCCACCCAUAACCGCCUUUGUCUCAGUCUUUGUUGAUAACAAUUUUUUACUCUAUACGUUUGUGAAGCAGUGUGCUGGGUCAUGGCUUUGGAUUGCAGUGGCUAGGUUGCAGCUUGGAAUGGCUCGGUAGAUUUUUGUUUGAGGAUCUCCAGGCAGUCGUGAGAGGUUGAUCCCCUACUGGAAAUGAUGUCCCAACAGAGAUCC